rnacentral:miRNA from 1 species
CACAGCUUGGGACAUAGUGGUGCUCAGUAAAUAUUUAUUGGAUGAAUGGGUGAAUCAGUCAGUCAAUCAACCAAUCAACAAGAGAAUGCCACAGG